UACGUAGGGUGCAAGCGUUAAUCGGAAUUACUGGGCGUAAAGCGUGCGCGGGCGGUUAUGUAAGACGGUUGUGAAAUCCCCGGGCUCAACCUGGGAACUGCAUCUGUGACUGCAUUGCUGGAGUGCGGCAGAGGGGGAUGGAAUUCCGCGUGUAGCAGUGAAAUGCGUAGAUAUGCGGAGGAACACCGAUGGCGAAGGCAAUCCCCUGGGCCUGCACUGACGCUCAUGCACGAAAGCGUGGGGAGCAAACAGG
rnacentral:rRNA from 1 species